AAUAUAUCCUGUUUCUAUUUUCUUUUUAUGCCCCACCUACGAUAGUAGAGGGGCAUUAUGUUUUCUGGUCUGUGCGUCCGUUCGUUCGUUCGUCCGUCUGUUCGUUCGUUCGUUCGUCCGUCUGUCCCGCUUCAGGUUAAAGUUUUUGGUCAAGGUAGUUUUUGAUGAAGUUGAAGUCCAAUCAACUUGAAACUUAGUACACAUGUUCCUUAUGAUAUGAUCUUUCUAAUUUUAAAGCCAAAUUAAACUUUUGACCCCAAUUUCACGGUCCACUGAACAUAGAAAAUGAAAGUGCAUGUUUCAGGUUAAAGUUUUUCAGGUUAAAGUUUUUGGUCAAGGUAGUUUUUGAUGAAGUUGAAGUCCAAUCAACUUGAAACUUAGUACACAUGUUCCU
rnacentral:lncRNA from 1 species